GAGCACGGACGCCAUCUACUGCUGGAGGUGAGGUACAGCACAGUGCCGCCUUCAGGUGGUGUCGGAAAUAAGCCAGAGUCCGAGAGCCCAGCUUCAUCUGACCCUGCAUCUUCUUUCAUCCUAAAUGAUGUGAUGACCCAGACAAAGCAUUCAUACUACGUAAGAAAAAAAAAGUUCCACAUACUUUAUAACUCAUAGAGGUGAUUCUAGAGUUGGUUGGGGCCCUAAGCAAAAAAUUGCCAGGGGGCUCCUCCAAUCAGCGCUCAUCACCAUUAUGGUAAUAAUCUGACACCUACGAAAAAUGUACAAAAUCUAAACAAUUUUUAUUGUAAAUGUUCACAUUUGUCAAAUUUAAAAAAAAAAAAAAAAAAUGAAUAAAAACAUGACAAAAUCCUCUUAAUUUUCUAAAUUUACACAUGAAGAACAAUAAAACCCCAAGAAACUAAAUAAUUCAACAUUGUCACAUUGUAAAUAACCGACAUUAUAAGGCCAGUGAUCAUCAACAAAUACAGCACUGAUUCUAAAAAUGCUGCCACUAUUGCUCUCUACUGACGAAGAGCUGGUGUUCACAUUGGUAGAAUGUAGUAAGUUGGCACAAUAUUAAUAUAUAGAACAAUAAAACAUUGCAAAUAACUUCAAAUAAAAAAAUAAUGGUAGUGUAUGCCAUCACGCUACGUUAGCUUAUGAAAUGUGGCUAGCUGCUGUUGAUCACUAAUAUUCUCCGUGAAGAUAUUUAAGUUGUGAAAGUGUCACCUGUCUUAUGGUUCUGUAGGCUCCUGGUUGAUCUGACACCACUGUAGCAGAUUAUCUGGUUCAAACCUAAACCGGGACUUUUAAUGACUGUAAUGAACAUGGAUUUUGGCACUAUGAUCCAUUUGUGCUUAGCAGAGCACACAAGAGGCACUGGAGGAAAGAACAGUGUCCAAGUCCUCUUCAUGUUUCUACAUCAUGAAUGAAUGAGUUCAAAGAUACUUGUCUCAUUUUCAUACCAAUAUCACAUGGAGGUACUCCUCCUUCUGAUACUGUUGUUUGGGCUUGAUACUCAACUGUGGUCACACUCCACAGAAGUGAGGCUUCACUGUAAAACACUUUUUAAGUACUGACCUAAAUGUGUGUGUAGCAUCAUGUAUCAUAAAGUGUCAGUAUUAGAAAGCUGUUAUCAAAUGCUUGUGCACUAAUGCUGUGAUGAGACAUUUCCUGAUAUCAGUCACAAACCUUUAAACUAUGGAGGCUACUUUAAUUCAUUCUUCUUUAACACUGAUGGACUCAACAGUUUGACACAUUUUCUGAAAUGAAAAACAAGAUGUUUAAGUCAAUGGAGAACUGUAGAAAGUUGACGCUUACAAACCCAUAUACAGUAUAAACUAUAUCCAUAUCUAAACAAUUUUAUUCCGCCGUACUGGUGACAUCAGUAGCAAUAUCUCAGUAAUGCCUUGAAAGAACUUAUUCAAAUUUGGCACAAACCUUCACUUGGACUCAAGGAUGAAUGGAUUAGAUUUUGGUGGUCAAAGGUCAAGAUCACAGUGACCUCACAAAACACGGUUUUGGCCUUUUGAACACAAUAUCUCCGUAACACCUUGAAGUAAUUUCUUCAAAUGUCAUAAAACACAUUACCAGGACUGAAGAACGAACGGCUAUGAUUUUGGUGGUCAAAGGUCAAGGUCAGUGUGACCUCACAAAAAACUUUUUAGCCAUUACAUAAGACUUCACAGCAAUUAUGACAACAUUUCACACAAAUGGUUCAUAUUUUCUAUGACUGGAUAAACAGGGAUGUAACCUGAAACUAGUCUGAGUGGAGGAGGCAGAUAACCACGAGGAGAGGAUUCUAGUUUACUAUUGUCUUUGUAAUAAUGCGAGUCGUAUAGCUGUCUCCUCACCUAUUUAACACACAUGAGAGACAGACACAGUGAGAGGUGAGGAGAGGUAUGGAGAAAAAUAAUUCUUCAGGGGCUGUGAGGCUAGAAUGGUUGGUGUGGGAGUUGCACAUAGAACAUGACAUGCCACUCAGCGGUGUGAAUUUACUGCUCAAGACUGUUGGGUGUAGUUGAAAACUCAGAAAAAUCUAGCAAGUGACUGAGUUGAGUAGAUUUUAUCAAACAUUCAGUUACCAAGGUCAAAAAUAAACUGAUGAUAUUUAACUUGUUUACAGUAAAUUCCCCAAAUUAAAGGUUAGGUUAUCUUAUCUAGGUUAUAUAUUAGGAAACUAUCACAUCAGUACAGAUACUGUUUUUUUAAAGCCUCUCAGCAAAGAUCUGAGUGGUUACACGUUUGUUCAGGUUGUUGUUUGUUUCCAUUCUGUCACCCAUAAAAUCUUUUUCACAUCAUACUCAAAUAAAGCCAACAAUGUUCACACAGUCACCACUGAACACCAAGGUCAGGUUGUUGAGAGAAGCUUCAAUUUAUUCACUGAAACUCAAAAACAGUGUGCGCCCAUGGGACAGUCACUCAUCCAGGACAAUGAGGAAAUGAGAAUUGUAAAAAUCACAGUUUCUCUGAUGCAGUCUCACUCUCUCUCUCUGUCUGUCUCUCUCUCUCUCACACACACACACACACACACACACACACACACACACACACACACACACACACACACACACACACACACACACACACACACAGAGUUGGAGGAAGGACA